UUCCAGUGUGUACAGCCUUUGGGCAGUCAGGCGUCAAGACGCGGCCAUUCUCUCCCACACUCCCAGUGAUGGAUAAUCUGGCUUUGUUUCUUAUGGCUUCAGAAAAGGACACAAAUAUUGCUGACGUCUCUGAUGGAAAAACUGCUGUAUUGCCUAAAAUGUCUAUUUACCUUAGUGAUACUUUGAGCAUAAAAGUUGAAUUUCAUCUAAUAAAUGUGAAUUGUAGUCAAAAUUCUGAUGAUCACUCUUCCUUAAAGGUCUGGCUCAAGGACUACCAUCAGAACUCUAUCAAAGCCACCAGCAUUGCCAAGCCCAAGCCGCCAACCAGAAUGUAGAAGACGCCUGCUACAUUGCUCAGGCUCAAGGCACUCGUCUUGUCCUAGGGGGGAUAAAGACACUUCAGUUAACUGUGGAAAUGUCACAUCCAAAAGGUGAAGCCUCUUGGCUGAGGACUGCUAUGGUCAGAACUUCACAGCACUGAGAGUGGCUGUCAGGUGAGUGGGGAUGCUAAUUACUGCACGGCCUGGAGUGUGACAGGGAAGCUGCUGCAGCGACCCCAAAUAGUCUAAUUGUUCCUUAUAUUAAAUCAUGAGCUCCUUGAGGGAAAGAACAGUGGUAAUUCUGUUUCUAUACAGGUACUGGCACAUGGCCCCAUUCAAACACAAGUUUAAUAAUUUGCUGCUGAAUGGAAGGCUGGAGAGGUUACAGUCCUGUGAAUGACAAGUGAGUCAGCUCUCUCACAGAAACCUUUCCAUGUGUGGUACAGGUUUCCAUAUUUCCCUUCUUCAUUAGAUGAGUCACUGUUGGGAUAGUUAGUUUUCUCCUACCAAGAUUCUGUAUUUGAAGGUCAGCUAAGCCAGGAUUUCAGCAUGUGUGUGCUGAGUUCUCUCUGUAUUUUCCCUUCUGCACUGAAUUGGCAGCAUUGGUCUUUUCUGCUUUAGUUUUACACACAAAGGCUUUAGAGUCAGUUGCAUUUCUCACUUCAGGACUUUUUCUCCUUAUUUUACAUCUUUUGAUGAAGAUCAGGCCAAAUGGGAGGGGUAAGGUAAGUUUACAAAGAAAAUCAGUCACCUGAAAAAGGUACAAAAUGAAAAUGAAAAAGCAACAACUGUCUCCUAGUAAUUUAUUUCGAUUUAAGUUAGGUCAGGCCAUUUAAAAUAUCAUCUUGUAUGACAAAUGCAGAGUAGGGUAUUAUUAACAUUUAGAGUGCAACAAUCUAUUCUCUUGAUAAACCUUAGACCAAUAACAACCUACGUGGAUUUUUUUUUUUUUUUGGUAUACAAACACAUUCCUGGAGGAAAAAAUAAAACAUAAUGUAUUUCAUUUUGGGAGAACAUUUUAUGUUAAUUUUUUAUAACAUUUUGGAAACCUACUUGUUAAAAUUUGAAAUAGCGUUCAUUCUAAAACAUUUUGUAGUUCAUGUUUGGUGAAAGUAAUGUCACUGCAUAACUAUAAGAAGAAGCAAUUCGGCUUUGGAAACUACAGGGUUAGAGAGAAAUUUAUUCUUUUGGACAACAAAUAUUUAUGUCCAACAAAUAAAAAUGUCCAUUAUGUACCAAACAAUGAGUUGGAUACAAGCUAAUUAAAUCUGACUGAGUUGUCCAGUUCAUUUCAAUAAAUUAGAAUGACUUUUGUUACAUAGAUUUUUCUAACAUAUAUAUGUUUCUGUUAUGCUUGCUUAUUUUUCUCCAGAAAACAUCUUUAAUGCACGCUAAAAUGGGACUUCAUUAUUUAUAUUUGUGGAAAAUUUUAUCUGUAAAGCAGUGUUUUACUUCUCCUGUAUUUGUGAUAAUAAAAAUUUGAAAACUAAA